rnacentral:tRNA from 1 species
GGGAGCGCGGCGCAGUUGGAGAGGCGCGGCAGACUGUAAAUCUGCUACUUCGGUUGAAUAGGCUCGAAUCCUAUCGAUCCCA